CUGAGAACACGAAGAGCAGGCAAACCGCCAUCCAGAUGUCAAUGGCUUUCACGUAGGACACCUGGAGGGAGAGGCGGAGGAAGACGCAGGAUAAACUGAGGCAGGGUGAGUCCGUCUGCCACCUGCACAGCUCCCUGCUCCUGCCACUCAAAGAUGAGGUCAUUCAUGGUGUAUCCAACUGGAUGGGAUCAGAAGAGGCAGCGGUCAGUACCCAGGAGCACGUGUGAGGCGUGUCAGACAAGAGAAUGAAUGUGUUAUGGAUAAAGUAGAAGCUCCAUUUUACCAUUGGCCCCAAUGGUACAGUUAUUCUUAUGCACGCUAAAGUUGGAGAGUUAUGGAUCUAGAUGGGUUGGAGGAAUAAAAGGAGAAACUAAAAGUUGAUGUCUGAGCAUUCAAACCAUUCUGCUUAAAGAUGACAGUUUCCAAGCAGUGAAGGAAGAGAUGCAGAAGAAUUCUAGAGUAUUGCUGCUGGUCCUGGAGUUCAGACUGCUGUGCUGUAAUACUGGCUGUGGGGGAUGAACUAAUGGUCAACUUGUAACCCCCAGCUGAACUGAAUCAGUGUGGUGCUGGGUGU